UGACAGUCUGGACUUUAGCAA
rnacentral:misc_RNA from 1 species